rnacentral:rRNA from 1 species
GACGAACGCUGGCGGCGUGCUUAACACAUGCAAGUCGAGCGGUAAGGCCCCUUCGGGGGUACACGAGCGGCGAACGGGUGAGUAACACGUGAGCAAUCUGCCCUUCACUUUGGGAUAACUCUGGGAAACGAGAGCUAAUACCGAAUACGACCACUUCAGGCAUCUGAUGGUGGUGGAAAGUUCCGGCGGUGAAGGAUGAGCUCGCGGCCUAUCAGCUAGUUGGUGGAGUAACGGCCCACCAAGGCUUCGACGGGUAGCCGGCCUGAGAGGGUGACCGGCCACACUGGGACUGAGACACGGCCCAGACUCCUACGGGAGGCAGCAGUGGGGAAUAUUGGACAAUGGGCGAAAGCCUGAUCCAGCAACGCCGCGUGAGGGAUGACGGCCUUCGGGUUGUAAACUUCUUUACUAUGCGACUAACUAGAUUUACGAGAUAAUUCUAUAGAAUGUAGCAUAGCAAAAAGCACCGGCUAACUCCGUG